GGCCACAGCCAUAUCACCCUGCAGCCCAAGACUGGUUGCCCACUGAAGCUAAGCAGGGCUGAGCCUGGUUAGUACCUGGAUGGGAGACCUCCUGGGAAAACUAGGUUGCUGUUGGAA
rnacentral:rRNA from 1 species